rnacentral:tRNA from 3 species
GUGCCAGUAGCUCAGCUGGAUAGAGCAACGGUCUUCUAAACCGUUUGUCCCGGGUUCAAAUCCCGGCUGGCACA